rnacentral:lncRNA from 1 species
ACACAGAGAAACCCUGUCUCAGAAAAACCAGAGGUUUAAAAAAAAAAUCCAUGCUGGGAUAUUGUUUAGUAUUGAAAAGGGAAACAUUAAGUUCACACAUGCUUUGGCAUAUAGAAAUCUUGAAACUAUGUUGCUAAGUGAAAGAAGCCAUUGAUAGGGGGCAUAUAUUUAUGGUGACAGUCAUAAUGAAGGUCCAGGAUAGGUCAAUCAAUAAUGACAGGAGAUACGUUUAGUGAUUAUCUUAGGCUAGAAGCUUUGUAAGGAAAUGGUUAGAGUACUCAUUGAUAAAUGGUUUCUCCAGGGAUUAGAAAGAUAGUAUAAAAUUGUAGAGAUGGCUCCAUGACUGUCAACAUACUGAAACUGACUGAACGCGAGAGUCAAAGGCAAGCUGAUUACUUGAGUUCCUGGACAGCUAGGGCUACACAAUGAGAGCCUGUCUGAAAUUCUUUUUAUUAAAUUAUAUUUUAUAAACAUAUAGUUGUACAUCUUAUUGUAUAAUAUGUGGACCUAUUAGUGUUGAUGGGGCUUUUUUUUUCUACCCAGUACAUAGCCUCUUAUGUGCUAGGCAAACAUUUCUCUACUAAGCUGUAUCCCUAAUCCAAAAGGUAUUUGGUUUUCUUUUAAUUAUGUGAUUUUCUUUUUUACCUGAGCUUUGCUCUCAAACCCAGUGCGUUACUUGUGCUGGGCAAGCACUGUCUGAGUAAGCUAAGCCUCUAGUCCUUCAGAACGCUUACAUUACUUAGAACAGUUGAUACGUCUAAGAACAAACCAUGCAAAGAGAUUAAUAUUUGUGUGCAUAUUUAUUCAUAAUAUUAAAGACAUAAAUGUAGACAAUGUGAGGUGUCUUAACACACUGAAGAAGUAUAUCAUGUAAAAAUGGCCUUCUUGAUAUUUUAUUUCUUCCCUUUUAUUUUUUUCAUUACCAGCUGGCUCCAGGAUCCCCACCUCCUGUAAACACACCCCUUCCCAAGCAUUGGAAUCACAGACAGCCCCCCAUACCCCGCACCAUUUGUAAUGCACUGGGUAUCCAGACUCUGGUCUACACAUACGGGUUUUUUUUUUUUUUUUUUCUAUUUUCAUCCAGCUCUGUGUUAGAAUUAGCCUUCUCACUGAAUUGUAGUCCCUGUUGGGUAAACACAUUAUACUAUUUGCAGUGGAACUUACAUGCUGAUAAGCCAGUGAGGAAGGAUCAAUACCAGAACUUUAUAGGUCGCCAGUUCUGUGCCCUGCCCCUUCAUUCCCCGGCUAUGCUGCAUGACCUGCUUGUAAGAUGAUUAAGUCUAUGGGACUUCAUGAGCCCUCUCCCACACCGUGCAAUGUGUCCCUAAAGGAACAAAAUGCUUCAUCUAUUUGUAAUUUAGUCAUUUGGCUGAAAAUGCAUUUUGCCACAGAAAUUAAUUCCUUGUACAGAUACUACUUAAUUUCCCAUGUUAUUCCACAAAUGCUUAACACUUAAUGAAGCUAAGUGGAAGCAGUCAUUAGGUAAAAAGUUUAAUGCCAAUAGUGAAUGUGAAAGCCGUUGUCUCAUUUCCUAAGGGUCCUAGGUUUUCUGUUUUGAAUGGGGCAGCAUUGUCUGUUUUGUGGAUGAGUCUGACUUCGGAGACUCACAUAGCCCCUGCACAGCCCCUGUUUGGUCCUGCUCUUUUAACUAAUUUGAACUCCAUUGAAGAGUAGAUGUCUUUUAAGUUGUUUCCUAGACUUUCCUUUUGUGGGUGAAGUGUUUUUAUUUACUUGAGUAUUUUGAAGUGUUCAUUCAAAGAACUGAGAAAGUUAUCCACUACUCUGUAGCACAGGUUGGGGAGUGUGCUCUAAGGCAGCCUUUCCUUCUGCUUACAUCUCUUUCCAUUGACUAGAUAAAUACAUAAUUUAUAUUGUGGAAACGUGGGCUUGGCCUUUUAAAGAAGCCAUUCCUUUUUAUUCCAGUGAUAAGGGAUUUAAAUUCUUCUUCUUCAGCAUCCAGCAGUGAGUUCAGAGGUGAUGAUCAUUAAUAUCUUGAUCCAUCGCUUUUCAGAAAAGAUAAGGCUUUUUUCCCGUAAUGGUUCAUUUGUCUGCUUGCUUUAUUUCCCACCAGGAGUCACAAAAUCCAUUUCCUGUGACAAUAUAAUAAUUUUCUCAACAUCUGAUUAUAGUGGCACAUACAUGCGGGUUAGAAAAGAAGGAAAAGGAAGACACUAAGAAUAAACACUGUGAUGGAAACUAUUUUUAUAGUCAUAAUGACUAAGUUAGAAGAACAAAUAUAAGUACUGGAUUACAAAAGGCUCUUGAAUAUUUUCCUAAAACAUUCCUUACAGGGACUGCAGAAAUAGCUUGGGGAGUAGCAGAGCCUGUAACCUCAGCGGUAGGGGGUAGAGAAAUGAAGCCCCACAAGCCUGUUGGCUAGAACAGUGUAGCUCCAGUGUGGUAAGAGACUGUGCUUACUCAGUAAGGAAGAGAACAAGAGGAGACACCCCUUUUCCUGCACUGACCUCUGGAUGCCCAUGCAAUGCUCACAUUUGCAUACUCACAUGCUUGUAAAACAUACAGUUACAGUUUGAUUACAUAGACUGUUUACCUAUUCACCUAUAUGGUUUAACUCUUUUUUUUUUCCUCUUCUGGUUCAGAAAUAGCAAGGAUGGAUGUUACAUGUAUUCUCUGCUAAACAAAACAGAGCAAACAAAUUCCUAAAAUCAGCGGCUCCUAACCUGAUACAUUUUGAGAUUUUAGUAAAUGACUUAUUGAUAACAAUUUAAAUGCCAUUAAUAUAUCUAAAUCGGGAUUCUGCUCAGCCGGUAAGGGUGUGUGCUAGACCACCUGAAUUUGGCCUGCCAACCUAUGUAAAGGUGAAAAGAAAGAACUGAUUCCCUUAAGUUGCUCUGUGACCUCCACAUGUGCUCUGUGGCACUCACUCCCACAGAAAUACACAC